rnacentral:lncRNA from 1 species
GGUGGGGGACAGAGUGGGUGGGGAGGGGAGCCGCCAUACAGUGGCCAGGACCAGCUUUGCCCAAGUGGUGGCAACCGCAUGACCACAGGAACGAUGGCGUGAGCCCCGUGGCAACCUGGAGGAAGGGCCAAGCCACUGGUGAAUAUGCUGCAAAAAAUAUGCUGGAACUUCUAUGAAUACCACAGGGUGUGAGAAGAAAACAUUAGAACUUCUAUUUUGUACCUGUGUUACUCCACAACAAGAAAGCAAUCAGCUUGAUCAAUGCCUACUGUAAAGACGGCACCGCCCUCCGGAGGUCCUUUCUCAGCCCUGGUGUUCGGACAGCCACAUCCCCUCGCAGCAGGGGGAGGCCUGAAGCAUAGAGGGGCCCAUGCAGGUCUAUUCUGUUUCAGCGAAUUGCCUGGGAAAUAAUCCAGGAUCCAUUUCGUGUGGUCAUCUUGUCUCCCUGGUCCCCUCCAGCCUUUCCUCAUCUUUUGUGACCUGGUCACUCUGGAAGGGCGCUGGCCAGUUAGUCCACAGGAUGGGCCUCCCCUGGGGCUUUUCUGAUGCUUCCUUAUGAUGGCACUGGCAUCCUGAGGGGGAGGACCACAGAGAGGAGGUGCUCCUCAUCACACCACAUGGGGGUCCAUGCACCAGUGCCACUGCUUUCCAGGGCUCUUCACCUUCAUCACUGGUGGAGGUGGCGUCUGCCAAGAAGCAGAAAGUUGAGGCUUAGAAGGUGCACGGCCCUACCUCUUCCGAGGUGCCCCUGCGGGCUGUCUACAGACCAGGCAGCACAUGCCUGAUAGCAGCUGCAUAAGGAAAAGCAGGAGCCAGCUCGUGCACAGUGGCCUCAAGUGUGCACUGGGCAUGUUCUCUGCCUCACCAUCCCUGUGUGACAGAUGAAGCUUCAAGGACCACAGAGGGCCAAGUGCAGGAGUAAGAGGCUGGCGUGCUGACAGUGGCCAAGGGCAUUGGAGGGAAGGACCUGUCAUCACUGGGCCAAGGAAGGAACUCCAGACUGCCUACUUCCAGAGGGCCUGCUGAGAACCCCAAAGAGCUCUCUCAACAAACACACCCACGAGUUCCAGGAGUGAGGCUGCAGGGAACAGCCUCACUCUCAGAGGGGAUACAGAAUUGUUCCACUGGACAAGGGCUGGGAUCGUCAUAGGAUGCCGUUGGCCUGUGGUUUCCAACAGAGGUGCAGUUCAUUGAACUGUGGUCUACAGUCCAUUCUCUAACUUGGGGACCCUUGAAGAAGUGUGGAAUCAUGACAACAACCCUGUUGGGAGACACUAUUAUUCCCAUCACAUGGAUGAGCACACGGAGGCAAAAGGAAGUUAUAUGAUUGUCUGAGAUCACCCAGUGAAGACUGUGUGGCUGGGAGUUGUCCCCAGUGUUAUCUGCACGCUGCUUCCUUUUGAUGCCUGGCCCUUCUUUAUCAAAAGAAGCAUUGGCAGAAUCUGGGUGUUUAUGGGUCAGCUCAAAAUAAAUUACUUUAUAUGUCA